rnacentral:misc_RNA from 1 species
AGAACAAAAAUCGAAGCCGUUGCUCUUUACGAAAUAUUAUUAUAUUUUGUUUGGGUGAUCGCGUCGGAAUUGAACCGUCUUUCAUAUGUUAAUUCAUGUCAAAGUGGCUUAAAAUUCAUCAAUCUGGUACGAUUUAAAGCGUAUUUAAGAUCAGUCUUGAUUAAGAACGCGUGAUGACGUAUCAUCUCAUGUAGUACGUUCGACCUGCUUGUCAGGCUCAUUCGUAUACGACACUCAAC